UCAUCCUUGACUGCAUCACCUGUUACCAAAGAAGAGGAGACCAAAAAUUACUUAAUUAACCUAUAUAAAAUAAACUGACUCUAAUAUAUAUGUUGGAAAAUAAUACAACAAAUGUAACAUUUUACCGAGCUCUAAACCAUAACAACUUUAUUGUAACGGCGAUGACAACUUCAAUUAACUCCAUCUCAGAUGAAGACCUUCAAAGAGAUGCGCAUAAUUUUGGAAUUGUUCAUAUAGACCAAAAAACUAAAAUGAAUUACCUAUCCCACUCUAAUUAGUGGGGGGCAAAACAAUUACAGAGAUAAUUUUUGAUGGGCAAUAAUUCAGAAAAUCAUGAUAGAUAAAGAAAUUUAAGAUCAUAAAAGCGGCAGAAUAUGUUAUCACCCUGCUAUAAAUUUAUAUUUUUCAUAUAAACUGAUCUCAAACAUGAUGGCAACACUGAGUUAUGAGAAGGAGGGUGUUACCCGUUGAACUAGUUAAUAUUCACAGGGCAUCAAAGCUUGCGGAAAGAAACCUAAACAAACAACUACUUCAAUGUACUCUAUCGUCUUUAAUGAUAUUCCUGGCAAAAAAAAUAUGAAAAUAAAAAGUAGCCACAAUUCCAAUUUUAAAUUAAAAAAAAAAAAAAAAAAAAAAAAAAAAAAAAAAAAAAAACAACUCUACAUAGAAAAUUAAAGCUUGCGACCAAGAAUUUUGAAUAUCAAAUUUAGGAGAUUCAAUUCUACUUCUACAUGACAAACCUCAGGGGAUCAAUAAUCAGCAUAUUAAACUAGACAAUGAAGAUUAAUUCCCAAAGUAAAUACCUUUGUAAUUGGAAUUUAUUUCGUCUUGCAAGUUCUAACAACUGAGAUUGAUAUGUGCGGAAGUUAAAACUGCAAAGCAAGAAAUAAGAAGUAUCUAUCAAACAUCCAAAUACAUGCACACUGAGCUAACUAAGAUAAAACUAAACUAUAAAGUCAACUAGCACACAUUACAACAUUGCUAUGUAAACAAGAAAUAAGAAAAAAGAAAAUUUGAGGAAUAAUCACAAAUAUAAGAAUAAAAGAGUAAGCUAGACAAGAAAUACAAUCACUAGUAUAUUUGCAGUCCAAGAAAGAUAUAAACCCACAAGAAGUCUAAUAUCAUAAUAAAUGAAAAUUCAAACUUCAUACGAGGAUAUAAGGCAAUAACAUUUUGAAAAUAAAAAAUACGUUUUAUCUAAUUAAUCUUCAAAUGCCAUAUAGAAAUCGAAGAUAACAAUUUUUCCAAUUACAGACUCGCAUUCGUAUAUAGAUAUAUACAUGUAGUUAACAAAUACAGACAAAGGGUAACAAUUUCAACAUACAUAAAAAAGAAAAAAAGAAAAAAAAUGAAGAUGUCGGACUUGGAAGAAGGACAUACUUUUGUUGGCGUCUCUUUCUAUUGAAAAUUGACAACAACCCAACAAUUAUAAACAU
rnacentral:lncRNA from 1 species